rnacentral:rRNA from 1 species
GACAGAGGUGCCAAGCGUUAGGCGGAAUCACUGGGCUUAAAGCGUGCGCAGGCGGUUUUGUAAGACAGGUGGGAAAUCCCCGGGCUUAACCUGGGAACUGCAUUUGUGACUGCAAGGCUGGAGUGCGGCAGAGGGGGAUGGAAUUCCGCGUGUAGCAGUGAAAUGCGUAGAUAUGCGGAGGAACACCGAUGGCGAAGGCAAUCCCCUGGGCCUGCACUGACGCUCAUGCACGAAAGCGUGGGUAGCAAACAGG